AGUCAGAUGUGAACCCUCGGGCUCACCUGGGAACUGCAUUUGAAACUGGCAAGCUAGAGUCUCGUAGAGGGGGGUAGAAUUCCAGGUGUAGCGGUGAAAUGCGUAGAGAUCUGGAGGAAUACCGGUGGCGAAGGCGGCCCCCUGGACGAAGACUGACGCUCAGGUGCGAAAGCGUGGGGAGCAAACAGGAUUAGAUACCCUGGUAGUCCACGCUGUAAACGAUGUCGAUUUGGAGGUUGUGCCCUUGAGGCGUGGCUUCCGGAGCUAACGCGUUAAAUCGACCGCCUGGGGAGUACGGCCGCAAGGUUAAAACUCAAAUGAAUUGACGGGGGCCCGCACAAGCGGUGGAGCAUGUGGUUUAAUUCGAUGCAACGCGAAGAACCUUACCUACUCUUGACAUCCAGAGAACUUUCCAGAGAUGGAUUGGUGCCUUCGGGAACUCUGAGACAGGUGCUGCAUGGCUGUCGUCAGCUCGUGUUGUGAAAUGUUGGGUUAAGUCCCGCAACGAGCGCAACCCUUAUCCUUUGUUGCCAGCGGUUCGGCCGGGAACUCAAAGGAGACUGCCAGUGAUAAACUGGAGGAAGGUGGGGAUGACGUCAAGUCAUCAUGGCCCUUACGAGUAGGGCUACACACGUGCUACAAUGGCGUAUACAAAGAGAAGCGACCUCGCGAGAGCAAGCGGACCUCAUAAAGUACGUCCUAAUCCGGACUGGAGUCUGCAACUCGACUCCAUGAAGUCGGAAUCGCUAGUAAUCGUAGAUCAGAAUGGCUACGGGGAAUACUUUCCCGGGCCUUGUAAACCCCGCCCGUAAUCCCUAAUGAAUUCCCCGGCCGCCCUGCAGGUCCAACCCUUUGGGAAAAGCUCCCCACGCCUUGGAAGGCUUACUUUGAAUAUUCCAUAGUGGCCCCCUAAAUAACUUUGGGGGAAACCAGGGGCCUAACUUGUUUUCCUGGGGGGAAAUUGGUUUUCCCCCCCCCCCAUUUUCCCCCACACAUAACAAAACCCCGGAAAGCCAAAAGGGGGAAAAGCCCCGGGGGGGGCCCUAAAGGGGGGGAAACCAAACCCCCAAUUUAAUUGGGGGUUGGCCCCCCCCGGGCCCCCCUUUUUCCCCUGCGGGAAAACCCCUGUGCCGGGGCCCCCUCUGUUUUUUAAAGGAACUCCGCCC
rnacentral:rRNA from 1 species